UACGAAGGUCCCUAGCGUUGUUCGGAAUCAUUGGGCGUAAAGCGCACGUAGGUGGCUUUGCAAGUCAGGUGUGAAAGCCUGGGGCUUAACCCCAGAAGUGCACUUGAAACUGCUUAGCUUGAGUACGGGAGAGGUGAGUGGAAUUCCUGGUGUAGUGGUGAAAUACGUAGAUAUCAGGAGGAACAUCGGUGGCGAAGGCGGCUCACUGGCCCAAUACUGACACUGAGGUGCGAAAGUAUGGGGAUCAAACAGG
rnacentral:rRNA from 1 species